rnacentral:rRNA from 1 species
UUACGAGGUCAGGACACUGUGAGGAUUGACAGAUUGAAAGCUCUUUCUUGAUUCAGUGGGUGGUGGUGCAUGGCCGUUCUUAGUUGGUGGAGUGAUUUGUCUGGUUAAUUCCGUUAACGAACGAGACCUUAACCUGCUAAAUAGUCACGCGAACCGGUCCGCAAGGGCUCAAAGUUCGCGGCUCGACUUCUUAGAGGGACUAUUCGCACCCGCCAGCGAAUGGAAGUUUGAGGCAAUAACAGGUCUGUGAUGCCCUUAGAUGUUCUCGGCCGCACGCGCGUUACACUGACGGAGUCAACGAGCGUUUUUCCUUGCCCGAUAGGGUUGGGUAACCUCCUGAAACUCCGUCGUGAUGGGGAUAGAUCAUUGCAAUUAUUGAUCUUGAACGAGGAAUUCCUAGUAGGCGCGAGUCAUCAACUCGCGCCGAUUACGUCCCUGCCCUUUGUACACACCGCCCGUCGCUCCUACCGAUUGAACGGUCCGGCGAGAACGCCGGAUGGUC